GAUGAAGAACGUAGCGAAAUGCGAUAAGUAAUGCGAAUUGCAGAAUUCAGUGAGUCAUCGAAUCUUUGAACGCACAUUGCGCCCUGUGGUAUUCCGCAGGGCAUGCCUGUUCGAGCGUCAUUUCAACCCUCAAGCUCUGCUUGGUGUUGGGCCCCGCCCGCUCGCGGCCGGCCCUAAAGACAGUGGCGGCAGCGCCUGGCUCCAAGCGUAGUACAGCUCUCGCUCUGGGGCUAGGCGGUAGCCUGCCAGAACCCCCCUUCUAUGGUUGACCUCGGAUCAGGUAGGGAUACCCGCUGAACUUAAGCAUAUCAAUAAGCGGGAGGA
rnacentral:misc_RNA from 1 species